rnacentral:lncRNA from 1 species
UCUCGAUUUAAUUCCAAAUCCUAAAAUCAUUUCAUUCUAUUCUCCCACUCUAUCUUCUAACUCUUUCUACCUAAUUCACACCCUCCUCAAUCCAGUGACGGUGAUGGUGUCGCACCCAUUGUCGAAGAUAGCUAUCACACACAUGACGGCGACGUACUUAUUGUCGGAUAUUGCGGUCAUAGACACUUUCUCUUUUCACUCUCUCUCACUUUGGAGCAUCAUGCUAAUCGCUAACUCACAGCAGUGCUCCACCCACUCGCAAAAAUGGUGGCAACACUAUAAUGACAAUGUACUCAUUGUCGAAGAUUGCCGAUAUGGAUUUUUUGUUCUCACACUCUCUUUAUCGGAGCAUCACGUUGAGCACCACCUUGCAGAGGUGCUCCACCCACUGUCGAAAAUGGUGGAGAUGUGAGCGUCGCUGCCAGCAACUCUACACAGCAAUCUCACUAUGCAACGAUGACA